UGAGGAAUAUUGGACAAUGGGCGCAAGCCUGAUCCAGCCAUGCCGCGUGCAGGAUGACGGUCCUAUGGAUUGUAAACUGCUUUUGUACGGGAAGAAACACUCCUACGUGUAGGAGCUUGACGGUACCGUAAGAAUAAGGAUCGGCUAACUCCGUGCCAGCAGCCGCGGUAAUA
rnacentral:rRNA from 1 species